rnacentral:tRNA from 1 species
ACUGGGUUGGCCGAGUGGUUAAGGCGUUGGACUUAAGUUCCAAUGGACAAGUGUCCGCGUGGGUUCGAUCCCCACACCCAGUA